AUCUCCGUUGAUCCUGCGGAAGAUUGCUGCUAUGGGAGAUCGAUUAAGCCAUGCAAGUCAGAGGGCUCGCAAGAGCCCAGGCGGAAUGCUCAGCAACACGUCAAUAAUCUGACCUUAGGUCUAGGACAACCUUGGGAAACUGAGGGUAAACCCGGAUAGGCAAGAAAUACUGGAAUGUUUUUUUGCUCAAAAGCAAUGCCUAAGGAUGAGUUGGCGGCUGAUUAGGCUGUUGGCGGUGUAACGGACCACCAAACCUACGAUCAGUACGGGCCGUGAGAGCGGUAGCCCGGAGAAGGGUACUUAGACACUGACCCUAGCCCUACGGGGUGCAGCAGGCGCGAAACCUCUACAAUGUACGCAAGUGCGAUAGGGGAACUCCCAGUGCUUAUGCUUUGCAUAGGCUUUUGCCAAGUGUAAAUAACUUGGCGAAUAAGUGGUGGGUAAGACGGGUGCCAGCCGCCGCGGUAACACCUGCGCCACGAGUGGGAAUCGCAUUUAUUUGGCCUAAAGCGUUCGUAGCCGGAUAAGACAGUCUUGGGUGAAAUCGUUGCGCUUAACAAAACGGCGUGCUUGAGAUACUACUUAUCUUGGGACCGGGAGGCGUUAGGAGUAUUCCUGAGGGAGCGGUAAAAUAUACUCACUUUGUUCGUAACUAAAAAUACACAAAAUGAGUAUUUACAGUGCUAUAAUCUCAGGAGGACUACCUGUGGCGAAGGCGCCUAACGAGAACGGGUCCGACGGUGAGGAACGAAAGCUAGGGGAGCAAACCGGAUUAGAUUCUGGGGUUUUUGUUGAUGUUGAUUUUUGUUGUUUGUUCGAUAAAACUGAUCUGACAAAAAUGAACAAGUAAUCAUCAAGAACGAUAACCCAGUUAAAGACCCGAGUAGUCCUAGCCGUAAACGCUGUGAACUAGAUGUUGCAUAUCCUUCGAGGAUGUGCAGUGUCGGCGCGAAGGCAUUAAGUUCACCGCCUGGGAAGUACGGUCGCAAGGCUGAAACUUAAAGGAAUUGGCGGGAGAGCACUACAAGGGGUGCGGCGUGCGGUUUAAUUCAACUCUACGCGGGACAUCUCACCAGCAGCGACGGCAGAGUGAAGGUCAGAUUGAAUGUCUUACCUGACGAGCCGAGAGGUAUUGCAUGGCCGUCGUCAGCUCGUGCCGUAAGGUGUCCUCUUAAGUGAGGUAACGAGCGAGACCCAUAUCCAUAAUUGCCAGCGGGGACUUUUGUCUGACCGGGCACCUUAUGGGGACUGCCUUGGAAACAAGGAGGAAGGUGUGGGCAACGGUAGGUCUGUACGGUCCGAAUCUGCUGGGCUACACGCGCGCAACAAUGGCAAGAACAAUGGGCUGCAACACCGAAAGGUGAAGCCAAACCUCCAACUCUUGUCUUAGUUUAGAUUGAGGGUUGUAACUCACCCUCAUGACACCGGAAUCCCUAGUAAUCGGGCUUCAUUAUGGCCCGGUGAAUAUGUCCCUGCUCUUUGCACACACCGCCCGUCAAACCAACCGAGUUGGGUCUGGGUGAGAUGCAGCUUUCAGUUGCAUCAAAUCUAGAUUCGGUGAGGUGGGUUAAGUCGUCACAAGGUAGCCGUAGGGGAACCUACGGCUGGAUCACCUCCU
rnacentral:rRNA from 1 species